rnacentral:tRNA from 1 species
AAGGGCUUGUAGCUCAGUGGACUAGAGCACGUGGCUACGGACCACGGUGUCGGGGGUUCGAAUCCUCCUAGCCC